CAAACGAGUGUGACCGUACCUCAGAUUUUGGGAGACACACUCACUGAAUUUUUGCGAAUAUUUUAGGAUUUCUUUUUGUUCUCAAUGGUUUUUCGCUAGGUUUUAAUGAAAAAAGUGUGUGAUCUGGUCGAUUUUAAUUAUCUUUAAAGACAAAAUUUGUAUUUUUGUAGUAAUUUUAUCCGAGAAUAUCGGGAACCUUUCAUUGAAUAUUUUUCUCUG
ensembl:ncRNA Y37E3.27 ncRNA